GUACGCAUUUUAGCACAUGAAUACUAAAAUUGGAACACUGUGUAAAAGGUUAGCAUGGCCCUUGCAGAAGGAUGACAGGCAAAUUCAGAAAGCAUUCCAUAUUGGG